GCCCGGAUGGCGAAACUGGUAGACGCAAGGGACUUAAAAUCCCUCACCCUCACGGGUAUCCCGGUUCGAUCCCGGGUCCGGGCACCA
rnacentral:tRNA from 10 species